GACGAACGCUGGCGGCGUGCUUAACACAUGCAAGUCGAACGGUGAAGCCCUUCGGGGUGGCUCAGUGGCGCAAGGGUGAGUAACACGUGAGCAACCUGACCCUGGCUCUGGGACAACCACUGGAAAAGGUGGCUAAUACCGGAUACGACCCGCCUCGGCAUCGAGUGUGGGUGGGAAGUGUUUCGGCUGGGGAUGGGCUCGCGGCCUAUCAGCUUGUUGGUGAGGUGAAGGUUCACCAAGGCGACGACGGGUAGCCGGCCUGAGAGGGCGACCGGCCACACUGGGACUGAGACACGGCCCAGACUCCUACGGGAGGCAGCAGUGGGGAAUAUUGCACAAUGGGCGAAAGCCUGAUGCAGCGACGCCGCGUGAGGGAUGACGGCCUUCGGGUUGUAAACCGCUUUCAGCUCCGAAGAAGCGAAAGUGACGGUAGGAGCAGAAGAAGCACCGGCUAACUACGUG
rnacentral:rRNA from 1 species